GCGGGCGCGGAGCGGCGCUGCGCGGCCCCCGCCGCGCCUCCGCACCCUCUAUAAGAGGAGCGGCCGCGGCCGCGCUCCGCAGUGCAUGGCAGCGCCUCGCCCGGGACGCCGCCGUCCCGCCGGGACCCUCCCGGACCCUCCCCCGGGUGUGCCCGCCGUCGCCUCGCCCCCUCCCGGCCGCCGACAGCCUUGACCUUGCCGUCCGGCAGCCCGCGGGAUCGGGGGCUGGGUGGCGGAGCUGCCUCGGGAUGCGUUAGCCGGCGGAUCGCGCUGGAAUAUUUCUCCUAGGAAGGAGAGAGGCGACCUCCUCCCACUGGCCGGGGAGGGGGGGCGGGAGAAAAAGAGGAAUUAAAGAGCAUCUUUGCCCGCUUUGUUGGAUGAGAAGGACGGAGAAGGACCAGCAAGAUGAGCACUAGCAUUCCCUAUCAGCAAAACCCCUACACCCCUGGCAGCAGCUCCACCGUCAUCCAGUGCUACCGCUGUGGGGACACCUGCAAGGGAGAGGUGGUGCGCGUCCAGAGCAAUCACUUCCACAUCCGCUGCUUCACCUGCCAAGUGUGCGGCUGCGACCUGGCCCAGUCGGGCUUCUUCUUUAAGAACCAGGAGUACAUCUGCACCCACGACUACCAGCAGCUCUACGGGACCCGCUGCGACAGCUGCGGGGACUUCAUCACCGGAGAGGUCAUCUCCGCCCUGGGGAGGACCUACCACCCCAAGUGCUUUGUCUGCAGCACCUGCAGGAAGCCAUUCCCCAUCGGAGACAAGGUCACGUUCAGCGGGAAGGACUGUGUUUGCCAAAACUGCUCCCACUCUCUCAUCAGCACCAAACCCAUCAAGAUCCACGGGCCCAGCCACUGCGCAGGCUGCAAGGAGGAGAUCAAGCAAGGCCAAUCCCUCCUGGCCCUGGAGAAGCAGUGGCACGUCAGCUGCUUCAAGUGCCAAACGUGCGGGAUCAUCCUCACCGGCGAGUACAUCAGCAAGGAUGGCAUCCCGUACUGCGAGUCUGACUACCAUGCCCAGUUCGGCAUCAAGUGUGAGACCUGUGACCGGUACAUCAGCGGCAGGGUCCUGGAGGCAGGAGGGAAGCACUACCACCCCACCUGUGCCAGAUGUGUCCGCUGCCACCAGAUGUUCACGGAAGGAGAGGAGAUGUACCUCACAGGCUCCGAAGUGUGGCACCCCAUCUGCAAGCAGGCAGCCAGAGCGGAGAAGAAGCUAAAGCACAGAAGGACAUCAGAAACCUCCAUCUCGCCCCCUGGUUCCAGCAUCGGCUCCCCAAACCGUGUCAUCUGCGCUAAAGUGGAUAAUGAGAUCCUUAAUUACAAAGACCUGGCAGCUCUUCCCAAGAUUAAAGCCAUCUAUGAAGUGCAGCGUCCCGACCUCAUUUCCUACGAGCCCUAUCACAGAUAUACAUCGGAUGAGACGCUGGAGAGAUAUAGCUAUGGGGAGUCCCUGGGGACCCUCUCCCCGUACUCACAGGACAUCUACGAGAGCUUUGACACCCGGCAGAGGCGAGCCUCCAGCCCUGGCUACAUCGACUCCCCCACCUACAGCCGCCAGGGCAUGUCCCCCACCAUCCCGAGGUCCCCCCACCAUUUCUACCGCUCAGGCACCGAGAGCGGGCGCAGCUCCCCCUACUAUAGCCAGUUAGAUGUGAGGUCCUCCACUCCAACCUCAUACCAAGCACCCAAGCAUUUCCACAUCCCAGCUGCUGGUGAGAGUAACAUCUACCGGAAACCCCCCAUCUAUAAGCGACACGACAACCUCCCUGCAGCCACGAAAAGCAAAACCAGCGAAGACAUCGCACAGUCAUCCAAGUACAGCCCUGCCUACUCCCCGGACCCGUACUACCACUCCGAGUCGGAGUACUGGUCCUUCCAAGGCUCCCCCAAAGCCCCCCGGGCCCGGAGGUUCUCGUCGGGAGGUGAGGAGGACGGGUACGACCGGGGAAUGCACAAGAUCCAGAGUGGCAUCGGCAGGCUGAUCCUGAGGGAAGAGAUGAAGGCUCGGUCCAACUCCUACACAGACCCCUGGACGCCCCCACGCAGCUCGGCCAGCAGCAGAGAAGCCCUGCACACGGCUGGCUACGAGGGCUCCCUCAACGGCUCUCCCCGGACACACUACCUGGCUGACAGCGAUCCCCUCAUUUCCAAGUCGGCGUCCCUCCCUGCCUACAGGAGGAACGGGCUGCACAGGCCUCCCAGUGCCGAGCUUUUCCACUACGACAGCACGAACGCAGUCAACUGGGGGAUGCGAGAGUACAAGGUAAGAUGCUCCCGCUCCAAGGAGCAGCUGCAGCUGGAGCUGCGAGUACCACCCAGAGGGAGUCCCAGAGACAUGUCUGUGUGUCCCCAGGCCCUUCAGGAGGAAGCUUAGUCCUAUGCCCACAAUAUCCUACCUUCAUCCCCCAGCUGACAGCCCUGUCCCAGGACUGUGGGGCUCGGACCAGAGUCCUUCCCCUCCUGCCAGGGUCUCAAGCACUUGGCCAAGCACAGUUGUCUCCUGGGUGAGGAACAGAGAAGGGUGAUUGUGCGUGUGGUUCCCUACUCACGCUUGUCCCUGGGUCACUCCUGGUUUCGCAGAGUGAGCAGGCUAUUCCAGAGCCACUGAGGUGACUUAAGGUGGAUUAGCGUCACCCUGAGAGCAAGUACCCCCUCUGUCUUGUCCCAUCCAAGCGCUGGAGGCAGCUGUGCCUCCCAAAACCUGCUAAACAUGGCGGGGGAAGACUUUGUCCUGGUCGCCCCCAAGGUCUUAUUGCCAUGUGUGCCCUAACUGUCCUUUUCUGGCUCUGGAGCUACCCCAUGGUCUUCCUGUCCUCGUGCAGAUAUACCCCUAUGAGCUGCUCCUGGUGAAGACAAGGGGGAGGAACCAGCUGCCCAAAGAUGUGGACAGGACUCGGUUAGAGCGCCACCUCUCCCAGGAGGAGUUCUACCAGAUCUUCGGUAUGACCAUCGCCGAGUUCGACCGCCUGGCCCUGUGGAAGAGGAACGAGCUGAAGAAGCAGGCCCGGCUCUUUUAAAUGCAGUGCACUAUAAAUAUAUACAUACCUAUAAAUAUAUACAUAGAAAGAUC